rnacentral:lncRNA from 1 species
CCGGAUCUCCGACACGAUCCCCGUCGGGAUUCCUUGUCGGAUUCGACGUCGCUGCGACUGCCUUUCCCUUCUGCUGCUUCGAUAGCCUCUGACCCGACGACAUCGCGGAACGGAACGGUGAAGAAUGCUUCGACUGAAUCUAACAACGCUUAGAGAGAUAAAGGAAAGAGAGAGAAAGUACCUUUGAUCCCGGAGAAAAACUUGAAGAAAUGAGAAGAGAUCUGCGUAUUUAUAAGGAAAAGAGAGGGGGGGGAACUCGGGGCGCCAUCAUUAGGUCUAUUCGGGCCUAAAAGGGCCUCGAAAUCCACCCUAAAAACCCAGCGGACCCUCGCGAUGAUUCCGCUUCUCGACAUGUUAUGAAAGGAAGAGAAGGGGGGGGGGGAACUCGAGGCGCUGCCAUUAAAUUCAAACGGGCCCAUUUGGGCCUCGAGACUCUCCCAAAUGUCCAGCGGACCCUCGCGACGGUUUAGCUUCACGUCUAAAUCAAACGUCGGACAUCUUAAAAUCAGAAUAACCCAACGGUUAAUCAAGAUAUGUUAGUCGGGACCGAUUAUCCACGGCCGAUCGGCCUCAAAC